GGGCAUGUAGUAUAGUUGGUGAUUGCGUCCGCUUCGCAUCAGAGGUAUCUCUGAAAUGACCCACCAUAAGUUGCGGAAGGUCUGGCGUUCGGAUCGCCACUUGUCCA